GAGACCCCUAUUCCCCUCACAGAGCUACAAUUUCUUGGAGUGGUUUAACAACCAACCCCGCUUCAGAGAAAACUUUGGGAAUUGUAGUUCUGUGAGGGGAAAUAGGGGGUCU